rnacentral:rRNA from 1 species
GACAGGGGAUGCAAGCGUUAUCCGGAAUGAUUGGGCGUAAAGCGUCUGUAGGUGGCUUAAAAAAGUCUCCUGUCAAAGAUCAGGGCUUAACCCUGGGCCGGCAGGAGAAACUCUUAGGCUAGAGUUUGGUAGGGGCAGAGGGAAUUCCCGGUGGAGCGGUGAAAUGCGUAGAGAUCGGGAGGAACACCAAAAGGCGAAAAGCGGGCGCGCUGGACUUCUACUGACGCUGAGGCGCGAAAAGCGUGGGGGAGCGAACAGG